ensembl:lncRNA
CUUGCCGCUGUGGAGAUGUCAUCACUCCUGUCCAACCUGAGGUGCAUGGGAAGAGUGGGGAUCAAAUAUCACUGUCUUGCAACUACUCCACAGCCCUUUCUUUGCAUUGGUAUCGUCAAUAUCCAAGAUCAAGUCCAGAUUUUCUUCUUCUGAUACUACAAAACAGCGGGGAGUCUGAAACCAUUAAGCCUGGAAUGUCCGUGAAAUUAAAUGAAAAGAAAACCUCUGUGGAUCUGGAGAUCUCCUCUGCGAAAGUAACAGACUCGGCAGUUUACUACUGUGCAUUGAAGCCCACAGUUGGGUACAGCAAUGUGUCAAGAGGUGGAGCUCUAAGAUUAGUUUGGCUUACAGUAGUUUGACUUGGCUUAUUUUCUAAUAUGGAAUCACACUGUCACUCUGUCAGAGCAUCAGCCAACAUGUGCCUUCCUGUCUUUCUCAUUUUGGUUCUUCAUACAGGUAACAUCCUGACAAACAUGAUUACGUCGCAUGACUCACAAAAACAAGUUUUAGAAGGUAAAAAUGUAACACUGACAUGUAACUACAGUGGAUCACCUGAUAAUCUCCACUGGUACCGUCAAUAUCCCAGAUCUACACCAAAGUUCCUCCUCUACAUCUAUGAAAGUGGGCUGCUGAGUGACAACAUACCACAGCGCUUAACACCAAGAAUUAAUAAAAACACAAAACAAGUAGAUCUGGAGAUCUCUUCUGCUGCAGUGACAGACUCUGCUGUGUACUACUGCGCUCUGAGGCCCACAGUCACAGGAAACAAAGCUACGCUGUACAAAAACUUGAAGCAGAGAGAAAUGCAUUUAACAAAUGUAGCACUGAGAAUAUGCACUAAGAUAUAUGUUUCUCAGCUUGUUUUAUACAUCACAAUUUUAUUUAUAUAA